UUCAUUUUUAUUGAAUAUUUCCUAAAAUACAAGUUAUAUGAAAAAAUGUUUCCUACAAAAGUUGUAUAGUAUUUUACACUCUUUGCAACGGUAUAUUUAAUUUUUUCAAAAACGUUAAAUUUUUUAACCCCCUCCCUCCCACUCAACUAGUUACCUUUGCAAAAUUUGUAAGUUUUUGUAAGGACAAAAAUUGUAGAGCAUUUUAUGCCAAAUCGAUCCAUAUAGUAUUAGAAGGUGGUCUCGAUUACAUUGUUGGAAAACGUCGUGAUAAUAUCGUGCUAUACGCGUCACGCUGUCCAAGUAGAUGGAUACUGUAACUAGAUACGUUACUGUAAGUAGGGGAAUGUAAUAAAUUGUAGAAAAAUAAUACAUAGACAGUUGCAUAUAUUUAAUUUAUAAUGUUAAUAUAAUAUAUUAAAAUCAUAUUAAGAAAAAUCGAUAGAGGAUUUGCAUACACAGAAAAUAAGUGUAUUUUACUUAUAGCACAUAUUCGAAACAAAGGUGGUGCUCAUGGAAAAAAUGUGUGAUCCAAGAAUUGCACCAAGAACAAGUAAUUAUAGCAGUUUCGCUACAAACAUCACAUGGUAGGAUCACUUUAAGAUCUUUUUUGAAACAAAAAUCAACCGGUGUCUCGAACUCUGGCGGUCUAGUCUGUAAAUAUCCACUUUUGAACCAUGAAGAUUUAAAUAAAUUUUGAAACCUGGGUGACGAGAAUUCAUGAUGUGUUAAUGACUGCAAGUUCAAGAUAUUGUUCCUAUUAUGAAGAUCAAUUGCAAGAUCGAGUAACAUAACAUUAUCAGAGAAAUAUUUGAUAAAAUUUUUCUACAAACGAAAACCAUAUACAUCUAGUAGUUGUAUUUUUCCCGUUGUACCAGCCGGAAUUGUUAGAAAAUAGAUAUCUGUUGCAAAAUCUGGUCUACUUUCGGCAAUUAUGUUGGGGCAAUGUCCACUCCAAGAAUCUAAUAGUAAGACGGAUUGUGGCCCAACGUUCGGAAAGAAAACUUCUCUCAACCAGGUUUUUACAUAAUUUGAUGUUAAUUUACCUGACUUCGAAACCAUUACAUAAAUGUUAGGAGCGUUAAAUAAGGAUUGCUGCACUCGUGGACCAAACGUUCCUGUGGGUUCUUUUAAUACGAUCAAAAGAGACGACAAUAAUCUACCAUCAGCAGAAAUUGUUUGUUUUACAUGUUUACAUAUUUAUGUGAACAUUUUAUACGUUCGUCUCCCUAUUUUCGCAACAAAUAUAACGUAAAUAGUGCGUUUAUAAUUGCAUUUUAAUUUAUUAAUUUCUUUUAGAUGUAUAUCUGAUAUCAAGAGACAGAAGAGGAGAAAACAACGUCAAAAAUAAGAAGACAAUAUUAUUUAUAAAAAUGAUGUCAUUUAAUCCAUGGAAUGUCAUACUGUUACUGUAUGCAACAUUUUCUGCUUUAGACCUUCCACAAAGUCCGAUAAUUUCGGAGGAAAUAAAAGGGAAGGAGAAGGUUGAAUAUAUGCUGAAAGAAAUUGGAAAUGAUAACGAAUUUGAAAUAGAAGAAAAGCAAGCACUAGACUUUUAUGAUCCAAAUGGGAUUCCACAUGCAGAAACAGUUGAUUUGUUAGAUCAUGUUGAAGAUGAGAAUUAUCUCCCAGAAGAAGUUAUUUGUACUUCUGUUGAAAUAGCAAUAUCAAACGACUAUAAAAGGUAAGCUGGAGUACUGGAGAAGUGGUAAAACAAAACCAAGAGAUCAUUGGAAUCGGUUAAAAACAAUUAUAAACAAGUAACGUCGCUACGACAAUUACGGCGAUGGGAGAAGUAUAUCAAUGCAGGUAGUACCAGAAAAGAAAAAUUGCAAAGAAUUCCUGAAUAUACAUUAAACAAUUUCAAUGAACCGCUCCAAAAAGGAAUGAUAAUUCAUGAUAUUGACAUCGAUGGGCUUCUCGAGCACAACAAGAGAUAAAUGCGCCAGGAUUCAUAGCGUCACAUAUGUGGAUACACAGAUUUAAAAAACAACAUAAUAUAGUAUCUCGUAAAAUAACGAAAUUUGUCACGAAAAAAUCUUUGUUAUCAAAAUCAGAUUUGGAAAAUAAGUGCGAAACAUUUAUAACAAAUUUAAAAUAUUUUAUUAAUCAAUAUGGAAUAGAAAAUAUUUAUAAUUCAGAUCAGAGUGGAUUCCAGUUAGAACUUCACGCCGGUCGUACUUUAGCAAAUAAAGGUGCAAAAACAAUAGAAUCUGCAGUACAGUCUGUAUCAGCAACCACGCAUAGUUACACAAUACAGCCGACUAUUUCUGCUGAUGGUAGAUUGUCGCCUCUUUUGAUCGUAUUAAAAGAAUCCACAGGAACGUUUGGUCCACGAGUGCAAUCAUUAUUUAACGCUCCUAACAUUUAUGUAAUGGCUUCAAAGUCAGGUAAAUUAACAUCAAAUCAUGUAAAAACCUGGUUGAAAGAAGUUUUCUUUCCGAAUGUCGGGCCACAAUCCGUGUUACUAUUAGAUUCUUGGAGUGGACAUUAUCCCAAUAUAAUUGCCGAAAGUAGACCAGAUUCUGCAACAGAUAUCUAUUUUCUAACACUUCCGGCUGGUACAACGGGAAAAAUACAACUACUAGAUGUAUAUGACUUCCGCUUGUGGAAAAAUUUUAUCAAAUAUUUCUCUGAUAAUGUUAUGUUACUCGAUCUUGCAAUUGAUCUUCAUAAUAGAAACAAUAUCUUGAAAUUGCAGUCAUUAACACGCCAUCAGUUUUCGUCACCCAGGUUUCAAAAUUUAUUUAAAUUUGCAUUGUUUAAAAGUGGAUAUUUAUAGACUAGACCGUCAGAGUUCGAGACACCGAUUGAUUUUUGUUUCAAAAAAGAUCCUAAAGUACAAUGCGAUGUUUGGGGCGAAACUGCUAUAAUUACUUUUUCUUGAUGCAAACGAUCAUUUUGCAUCACACAUUUUUUCCAUGAGCACCAUCUUUGUUUCGAAUAUGUGCCAUAAGUAAAAUACAUUUAUUUUCUGUGUAUGCAAAUCCUCUAUCGAUUUUUCUUAAUAUGAUUUUAAUAUACGAGUAUUAUAUUAACAUUAUAAAUUGUAAACAUUAUACAUUAAAUAUAUGCAACUGUCUAUGUAUUAUUUUUGUACAGUUCAUUACGUUUUUUUACUUACAGUAACGUAUCUAACUACAGUAUCCAUUUACUUGGACAGCGUGACGCGUAUAACACGAUAUGAUCACGACGUUUUCCAACAAUUUAAUCGAGACCACUUUCUAAUAUUAUAUAUGGAUCAAUUUGGCAUGAAAUGCUCUACAAUUUUUGUUCUUACAAAAACUUACAAAUUUUGCAAAGGUAACGUGUUGAGAGGGGGUUAAAAAAUUUGACGUUUUUGAAAAAAUUAAAUAUACCGUUGCAAAGAGUGUAAAAUACUGUACAACUUUUGUAGGAAACAUUUUUUCAUAUACCUUGUAUUCUAGGAAAUAUUCAAUAAAAAUGAAAAAGUCCUCUUUCUUCAAAGGGCUGUUUCAACCCCUAAACUUAAUAUUCAACCGAUAAAAAAAUACGUGUCGAAUACUUUUUGAUGCUCUACAACAUAUCCAAAGCGCAUCAAAAUCAGUGAGGACAGUUCUGUUAGUUUCCUUGUUAGUCAUAUAUAACCACACAAAUUUUCAACGUGGUAAUUGUAACACAUGGAUUUGUUGUUUACUCCAAUGUUGCAUUACGUGAAAAUAAAGAGACCUUUAGAGCUA